UACGUAGGGUGCGAGCGUUGUCCGGAAUUAUUGGGCGUAAAGAGCUCGUAGGCGGUCUGUCGCGUCGAUCGUGAAAACUUGGGGCUUAACCCUGAGCUUGCGGUCGAUACGGGCAUGACUGGAGUUCGGCAGGGGAGACUGGAAUUCCUGGUGUAGCGGUGAAAUGCGCAGAUAUCAGGAGGAACACCGGUGGCGAAGGCGGGUCUCUGGGCCGAUACUGACGCUGAGGAGCGAAGCGUGGGAGCAAACAGG
rnacentral:rRNA from 1 species